AGGAAAGCCAAAAUGAAGAUGCUAGCACUUCUCCUACCCCUGUUACACGAGGCCCUGUCCAACAGCAGAAUUCUUCAGAUGCUGGCAAGAAGCUUUGGGAGAGAAG